UGCAAGGCUUCCAUUCACGGAAACUUAACUAGUUGGGAUUUCAGAUUUAGUGAAGUGAAAUCGUCCUGGGCAACUUCAUCAUUCAAAUCUCGGGAAACUUAUUGGAUACUGCCUUGAAGGGGAUAACUGGCUUCUGGUGUAUGAGUACAUGCCCAAAAGAAACUUGGAAAAUCACUUAUUUCAUAGUAUUUUCGCUGUUGUUGCUUAGUUACUACUAAUAAUAUCACAUGAAUCUUGGCUUGGUCCAGUAAUUAACUAAUGUGGAAGAUUGAAUUGCAUGCAAAGGAGGACAAAACGCUUCCUUGGGCAACAAGAAUCAAAGUUGCUAUUGGUGUUGCUUGAGGA